GUUGAUGUCACCGAAGUGGUGGUGGUGAUGGGUGUCGGGGUUGAAGUCUGUGUGCUGGUGGAUGUUGUGGUUGGGGUCACCGU
rnacentral:lncRNA from 1 species